AUUGAACGCUGGCGGCAUGCCUUACACAUGCAAGUCGAACGGCAGCAUAGGAGCUUGCUCCUGAUGGCGAGUGGCGAACGGGUGAGUAAUAUAUCGGAACGUGCCCUAGAGUGGGGGAUAACUAGUCGAAAGACUAGCUAAUACCGCAUACGAUCUACGGAUGAAAGUGGGGGAUCGCAAGACCUCAUGCUCCUGGAGCGGCCGAUAUCUGAUUAGCUAGUUGGUGGGGUAAAAGCUAACCAAGGCGACGAUCAGUAGCUGGUCUGAGAGGACGACCAGCCACACUGGGACUGAGACACGGCCCAGACUCCUACGGGAGGCAGCAGUGGGGAAUUUUGGACAAUGGGGGCAACCCUGAUCCAGCAAUGCCGCGUGAGUGAAGAAGGCCUUCGGGUUGUAAAGCUCUUUUGUCAGGGAAGAAACGGUUCUGGAUAAUACCUGGGACUAAUGACGGUACCUGAAGAAUAAGCACCGGCUAACUACGUGCCAGCAGCCGCCGUAAGAC
rnacentral:rRNA from 1 species